CUCCACAGAGAAGCUGCAGGCCUCCCAGGGGGCGGGGGCUCUGGAGAUGUGGGCAGCAGGAGUGGAGGGCACUCUCAAAUCCGAAACAACUGUUAACAGUGUGAGCCUCAGCUGGAGCCUGGUUCCAAUGUAAAAGUGAGAUGAUGGAAUCUCAGAGCCACAAAGCCACUUGCCCACGGUUGCGCAGAUGGGAAGAGGAGGAGCUAGACACAAGUGUUCCCAGCUGCGAUUGCUCGGACCCUCACUUGGUGGUUCCUGUUGCCUCCAAUCUCACAAAGCUCUACCCACCCCCGGCCCCCGCGUCCCAAGAACACUUCUCAGCCUCUCUGCAGUUAUUCAUGGCUCCCUGCCACCCUCCUGGCUCUGGAGCCAACUGUUUGGUUCCAGAUCUCAGCCCACCACUUCCAGCUUCAUGUGACUUUGCAAUUGCUGUCGUCCCUGUGUAUCUGCAGGGGACUGGUUCCAGAACUCCCUGUGAAUGUUAAAACCCAUGGAUGCUCAAGUGCUUUAUAUAAAAUUCUGUACUAUUUGCACAUAACCU